UUAGGCGUGGGGUUAUUCAAAGAGUUUGGCGAGUCUCUAUCCGCAUGAGAGAGUGAAUUAAUAUCUGUGGCUACAUGGGUUCCUUUGAAAGCACGGAGGAGGGAUACAUGAAAUACCGGGUGUACUCGCGAGGUGGUUGGUAAACAGAGUUCGUAGGCCACAGCGCCGAUGCGGUGGCGCACUUGAUUAAGCCCCGAGUAACGAGGGGCGAGCUUCGAACAUGUACGAAGCUCCACCGAUUGUUGGCGGUGAGGUUGAAGACGUACCCAUACCCAGUCAUCGGGGUUAAAAGAGCGUUCAGAUCAGUGGCGGUUGGCCUGGUCGCACAUUCGUUGACAGGCCUGAUGAAGGUUUUGUUUGAGGGCGUGGAGAACCAACGUGUGUUGGUGCAAUAAAUCAACAACGGUGGUGCCUGAGCGUGGACUGUGCAACAGAUCUAGGGCGGUGGGAGGUUGUCUUCCGUACAGAGCAUGGAACGGUGAGGUUCCAAUGGCAGAGUGAUAAGUCGUAUUGUGACAAAGUUACGCUAGAUGAAGAUAUUGGAACCAAGUGUGAGGAUGUUCGCCUGCAAAGCAUCGUAGGUAAUCUUCCAAACUUCGAUUAAGAGCUUCUGUCUGUCCAUCAGUUUGCGGAUGAUAAGCAGAACUGAACUUUAAUGUUGUGCCUUGUGCCUUGAAUAGGUGUUUCCAGAACGUGCUGAUAAAUAGUGGAUCUCGGUCUGAGACAAUGGUUUUUGGCAGCCCAUGCAGACGACAAAUCUCAACCGAGAAUCGCUUGGCAAGUUGUUGAGCAUUGAACUGUUUGGGAAGUGCCACAAAGUGAGCAUACUUCGUGAGGCGAUCACAUAUGGCCCAUAUCACCGAGUGACCUAUAGAGGCGGGUAAGUGUGUUAUAAAAUCCAUUGAUAAAUCUUUCCACACUUGAUCUGGUAAUGGGAAGGGUUGGAGUAAUCCAUGGGGUUUUGUUGGCAAAUACUUGUUACGCUGACAUGUGGUGCAUUGUUGAAUGUAGUUCUUGACAUCUCUAGUCCACCCCGGCCAGUAGAAGGCAACAGCAAUGCGAGCAAGGGUGGGUUUAAUACCGGAAUGACCCGCUGUGGGCGAUUCAUGUAGUUCUAGGAGGAUGCGGUUUCUGAAAUUGUUGGUAUCUAGAAUAAACACUUGGUGCCGAAAGAAGAGCAGACCAUGACGGACUGAGAAGAUGUUGGGUCCUUGUGUAUCUUUAGUGCAAGCGUCUACUAAUCUUGUUCCUUCUAUGGUGGAAUAAAAUUGCUGUAACUCUUCAAACAACAAUGGUAUUGGCGACGAGAGUGCAAGCAACAUUGAAGGUGGAUCUGUGUCUUGGCGUGAGAGAGCAUCUACAACCACAUUUUGCUUGCCAGGUCGGUAUAGAAUUUGGAAAUCAUAUCCCUGUAACUUUGAUGUCCAUCUUUGUUGUUCUGGAGUUUGUAUUGUUUGUGACUGAAGUGUAUUUAAACUUUUUUGAUCUGUGAUUAUUUUGAAGUGUUGCCCCAACAAGUACUGACGCCAUUUUUUUACUGCUUCUGUGAUUGCAUACAUUUCUCGGACAUACACUGAUGAAGCUUGGAGCCUUGGACACAUUUUCUUGCUGAAGAAGGCUAGUGGGUUCCCCUUUUGGCUGACCUCCACGACUACUGCAGAUGCGUCUAUUUCCACAACAAAAGGCAAGGAAAAAUAUGGUAGGUGUAGUGUAGGAACUUGAGAUAUUUGUAAUUUUAAUUUUGUAAAGGCCUCCUGAGCUGAGACACUCCAUGUAAACUUUUGAUUAUGCAACAAAUCGGUGAGAGGAGCGGCGAGAGUGGCGUAGUGAUAAACAAACUUCCUAUAAAAUCCUGUGAGGCUGAGAAAACCACGUAAUUCCGUGAGUGAACGUGGUUGCGGCCAAUUGUGUAUGGCAAUCACCUUUUCUGGAUCAGGGGCUACUCCUUUAGCUGAAAUGAUAUGGCCCAAAUAAUUUACUUGAGAAGUGGCAAAACUGCACUUAGAUAACUUAGCAAAAAAUUUCUUAGUAUGCAAAACUUCUAAGAUAAUCUUUAAGUGCACAAUAUGUUCCUGCAAAUUGGGACUAUAAAUCAAAAUAUCAUUAAAGAAAACAAUGACAAACCGCCGUAAAUAAGGUCUGAGAAGGUCAUUCAUGGCUGCCUGAAAAGUGGAGGGUGCAUUAGUCAAUCCGAAAGGCAUGACUAAAAAUUCGUAAUGUCCAUCAAUGGUUCUAAAAGCUGAUUUAUGAGUGUCUUGAGGAAUAAGUCGAAUUUGAUGAUACCCAGAGUAUAAAUCAAUCUUAGUGAAAACUGUAGUUGAGCCUAGUUCAUCGAGCAAUUCAUCGAUGGUAGGGAUGGGAAAGCGGUCAUGGAUGGUGGCUGCAUUUAAGGCUCUGUAGUCCACACAAAAGCGCCAACUACCAUCUUUUUUUUAUGAGGAGGACGGGGGAAGAACGGGCUUGUGCUGGGUUUAAUGAUACCCUCUUGAAGCAUCUCAGAGAUGAGUUGGGUUAUAAUUUCCUUGUGGGAGUAGGGAUAACGAUAUGGUUUAACAUUAAUGGGUGGGGUAUGAGGCAAAAGGGGUAUGUGGUGGUCAUGUGGUCUAGGUGGUGGUAAACCUUUGGGUUUUUGAAAGAUUGUUUUGUUUUGUAGGUCAGAGUCCAAGGUCACUGAUGGAAUCGGGUUGUUGUCUAUUGAAAGCAGGUGAAGGGAUGCAAUGGAAUGGGUGGAUAGGUACUGGCAAAAUUGGUGGUAAGUGGUUGAAGUUGGGGUAGAUGGAGUGGCAGCUUGUAAGGUGAUUUGUUUGUUCUGGUGAGUGAAAGCAAUGCUGGGUACAGAGAAAUAUGCCUGAAUAGGCCCUAGAGUGCGCAACCAUUCAAUACCAAAACUACAUCUGCUCCUUCAAUAGGUAAUAGGUAAAAAGGAAUGGUGAAUGUAGAAGUUUGAAGAGAGAUGUCCACUAAGGGGCAUAUCCCUUGGCAUUGUAUGAAGGCCCUGUUUCCUACCAUCACUGACAAUGGGGGGCUUGGUGUAAUGGGUUUGGGGUCACGAAGUUUGUCCUCAAUGAGUUUGGCUAGACCAAUAGCUUGGGAAAAAGAAUAUGGGUUGAGGAUGGAGAGUUCUCUGCGGAUUUCAGGUUGGAGUCCCGAAAUAAAGCAAUUAAGUAUAAUAUCAGGGGUGAGUCCAACUACGUAGUUACAUAAUUUCUCAAAACGGGAUUGAUAAUCUGUUACCGUGGUGGUUUGCUGGAGUUUGAAUAAUUAUGCUUGAUGGUUAGUGUAGGUGGACGGGGGGUUGCUAUUAUAUUGGGUGCUGCCAGGGGGUUGAUUUGUGUUUCCAUCGGUGUGUGUGGAGGGAAUGUGAUUCAUGAGAAAAGUGAGGGUGGAUUGAACCGAAUCAUUAUGUGUCUCCAUGGCUGCCUGGCAGGUGUGAUUAUCGUCCAUCUGAACCUGAAUACAUGACAGACGUUCUUGAAUGGAUUGUAGAAUUUCUUCUAGGUCUUUGGUUUGGGGUUUAGAAGGAGGCAUUGGGAAGGUCAAUGAAAGCACCAAUUGAUAGGCUCUUUCUACGGCUACACUAAGAUAAUUGAUACUAGGGUAACAUCAAAAUUCUCCUCCUCUAAUUACUGUUAAAAACUGACCUAAAUAGAAGUUGUAUGGGCCAAACUGGCCUUACAUUGUUCCCCUAAACUUUCUAAUAACACCUACAUAAUGUAGUCUUUCAUCCAUUUGGGCUUAACAAUCUGACGUUUGGGCCUAUUAUUGUUGGGCCUUGUUGUAUCAUUUUUCCAUCUUCAAUGGACUAACAACAACAUUGUAAGAGGAGAAGAUGACGGGAAAACGUUGUGAAGACCGUUCGAACCUAAACCAUUAGAGGAAAUCAUUCUCAUAGUGCAUAUGGUGAAAACAUAUCAAAUAUAUUAUUAAUUAUGAUGCUGGGAAUAAUGAAUGUUCUUGGGUCUUUACAUUUUCUAUGAACUUCAGCCAUUGGUUUCCAAUGAGUGAAAAUACAUUUCUCCCCAUGUUAAUUCUUUCAUUUCCUGUUAGACGCCUUCUAUGUGUGCACAUAUCCAUUAAAAGUUGGCAUAUUUUGUAAUUUGUUUAAUGGAAUCAAGCAAUGGUAUAUUGACAUCUACUUUUCUGAAGGUCUCCAAUUUCUUAUUCUUUUGUACAACUCUUUGUGGAAAAGGAACAUGAACAUAUGGAUGUUCAACACUUGUAGAUGGUUGAGCUCUUCUGCUAGAAGGGCUAUAGAAUUGAAGUUGUUCAAAGGUAUGGAAAUAACUCUCUUUGGGAAUGGAAGAGAGGUUUCACGGUUUUAUGGGAUCGUCUAAAGCUCUAUCAGACUAUCUGAUCAUAUGGUCUAGUGAUACAAUCCAAUUAGACAAGGAGAUAACCAAGGACACAACAAACACUUCACAAUUAAAUCAGUCAUCUAAGCAUUCAAGACAAGGCCCUAUCAAACUUCAGAAGGACCUCAACAGAAGAAGAACUAGACAUAAGUCAGACCAACAGAUGUUCUUCCUUCUAGUCUUUUAACAAGACAAGUUUAUGUAAAAUAAAUUGGGUUCACUUUAGGGGUGCCAAAUAGAAGAAUAUUGGGCCUGUGCCAAACUCACCAAAAAAAACCUAGCUUCUAGAAACUAUUUCCAAACCGCCCCUUAACCUAGUUUCUAAAAGAUGUAGGCUAGCUUGGGAGGCACUCCACUUUGACCUACCUUCUAGAAGGUUUUUCACAAAUGACACCCCUACCCCUCUAUCUUGCUCUCCAAGACACUCUCUUCUAUAAAUAGAGUGUCUUACCUCAUGUAUUUCAUACAUUGAAUUUUGAAUAGAAAAGAAACUUUGUCAAAGUGUUUAGUGAGUUGAGUCUCCUAGAAUUUGGGUCUUAUCUUGAGUGUUUUACACUUCAAGUGGCGGCUCUUCACCACUAAUCUUGGAUUCUCCUCCCCUUCCAAGUGGCGUGACCAAACCUUCAUCAUCCUAAGCUUCUCUUUCCUUUAAUCUUUUUUAUUUUUCCAUUCCUUUAUGUUCUUGUGUUCAUCUUUUUCUAUUUGGUUUCCAUCUUCUUUCUUUCCCUUAUAUGUUCUUUAAUUUCGCACCUAUUCAUCAUAAACACCAUAUAAUUGUAUUUUCUCUUUGCCCUCUAGAAGUGAACCUUCACACUUAACCACUUGAUUAAGUUCAUGUCCAGUGGGAAUCUUUUUUGGGUUUUUCACCAUAUUCUGCUUAAAAUCAA
rnacentral:lncRNA from 1 species